AACGAUAUCUACUCUGUGAUUGGUCCACACGCUAUAGGAUGUUGCAAGGAAGUUUCACUUACUACUUUUGUCAUUAGUUUUCUCCUUGUUUUAAAGAAUCCACCUAACAGACCACACAAAUUACUCAUUCAUAUUCUCCAUUUUCAAAGUCUUUUUUCAUCCAUAUUCUUUCAAUUCUCAUGGCUAUGCAAUCACCUUCCCGAGUGUUCCUCAGUUUCAGGGGCAGUGACACUCGCAACAAUUUUACCGGUAAUCUCUAUAAGGCUCUCAUUGACAAGGGAAUUUGUACUUUCAUUGAUGAUAAUGAUCUUGAAAGAGGAGAUGAAAUCACACCCAAACUUGUCAAGGCCAUGGAAGAAUCUAGGAUUUUUAUUCCCAUAUUUUCUGCCAACUAUGCAUCUUCUUCAUUUUGUUUGGACGAACUUGUCCACAUCAUUCACUGCUACAAGACAAAGAGUUGCUUAGUAUUGCCCGUUUUUUAUGAUGUGGAACCUACUCACAUACGACAUCAUAGUGGAAGUUAUGGUGAGCAUCUUACUAAGCAUGAAGGGAGAGGAGAGUCCCUGCAACCAUAGGCGACCACAUCAGUGUCAUCAUCCACUACUGUCGCGUGCUUGAGUUCCACCGUCUCUCCAUCAUAUUGUGUCGUUCAGUCAUCGCCGAUGCAAGAGAAACCAGGUGGUCGUUUUGUCGCCGGUAGUCCGCUGCUGCUAUUUUUCCCUCUCCUGAUUUCUCCCUUCCCCUCUCAUGUCUCACAUAUAAUCUUCCUCCAUCUCUUUUUCUGUCUGAUUGUUCGCAUAACAAUGCAACAAAACAUGAGAGUUGGCAAGAGUAUAAUCCAUGCAGCCAGAAUGAGAACAAUGCUGCUAUAACAUGUUAAAGUUACCAAACAUGUCAUAAGAAUUGGAACCAAUAAAUGUCAUGCUUAAUAUCAUUGAUAGCAGUGUGUUUUACUUCAACAAAAAAAAUAUGAACUCUCACAUAGAAGGCUGUGUGAUAUUGUAAAGUCCACUUGUAUGUAACUUGUCAUUGCUCAAUGAACAGAGCUUUGAGCGAUAAUUAUGUAGUACACAUUGUCACAAGCAUUACUUGGAACAAUUGGGAUCAUAUAUGUUGGAUCUAUAAUACUGGAAAAAAGAAGGCAACUUUCUGAGAGUGUGUGUGCACGUGCGCACUUGUCGUGGAAGAUCAAAUUGAUAAUUGUAAGCCGCAGAAAUAUCUUCAUAAACAUUUAUCAGAUAAGAGAAAAUUGGGAAGGAACAAACACAUCAUAUUCUGUAAUGGCUACUUUUGAGCACUUGUACGAAAUUCAAAAUAACUAUCCGACAUUCAUAAGUGAUGUUACGUUGAACUUAAGCUACUUAUGAAUUGGCAUUCUCGAUACCUAAGGGAUGGCAAUGCAUCUUUGAACUUUUUCGGAAGGAGAAAACAAUUAGAAACAUUUUAAAAUCAAGCAAAACAGAAAACCAAUAUUCUGUCACAAUCCUAGACAAUUUUAUCAUAAAAGACAAGUAGUGGCAGUGAUGCAGGCGAUAGUAUUUCAUCCAAUAAUCAUAGGAUAAAUGAGCGUUGCUGUAACACUAAAGAGCACAAAGCAUAUACAGCAAAUAGAACAAAAAAACACAGUCAAUAAAGAUUUGGUAUCAGCUGAUUAAAUGUGUCGCUAUGAAAAACAAAUUGUAUGAACAUUGUAUUUCACGGUAAGGAUUUAGGUAAGAAUCCAAAUUCAUUCAAAAUAAAUUGCAGCUUCUAUAGGUUCAUCCUCAACUUUGCGACCUUAAAAUGAAAUUUGUGUGAGAUAUAUGCACGCAAAAGAAAUUCGAAGAGAAUGUUCUUAAAUCACCAUAACUUAUAACUUGACAAAUAAAAAAAAGAGAUGUGACAUAAUGUUAUGUGUUUUGCUAAGGCAGUUUUUGUUUGUGAUUUUAUUAGAAUGUUUUAGUAUCUAGGGUGUCGUGCAGGAAGCGUGGUGGGGUCAAAUUCACAUCUAACUUACUGCUGAUCAGCAACGUCGUAAAGGCGAUCAUACAUUUUAUUGAUAUCCCAACAACCACAAUCAUAUACUUCUUUGUGAAAAAUAAGAAAAAUUUGCCUUGCUUCGAUAUUUGUACCGUAGUUUGUUUUAUCUCUUAUCUCAAUAUUUGUGUGUAAGCUGCAAUUUUCCAUAGCUUUCUUAGCUCUGUUAUUUGAUGAAAUUUUUUAUAGGGUCUAAAACUUGAAAUUUAAAACUUUUAUAGGGAUAUAAAACAUAUUUAACAUUUUUUUUAAACAUAAGGCUUUGAUAAUAUUUGCAUAUUUACUACUUGAGUUUUCAUGAUGCUGCUGGUUGAAUAGAAGACUGCAGCUGGUUGAUGCGACUGGGGCAUUGUGUUUUGAUACCAGACCUUCAUUUGACUUGGAAUUCCAAUGACAUAUUUGAUGUUACAUUUCUCUUUGCAUCCACACUACCGUCCCUAGCUAUUUGAAAACUUGGAUAAUGAUAUAUGUCGCGAAAAAAUUACUCGUGAUGGCAUCACGACUCCUAACAGCUGAAGUUCAUUUGCGAUGGUUUCGGGAACGUUUGCUUCGCAAUGAAUAGCACUGCUUUGAACUUUUAGGCAGCAUAUGACUUCGGUAAUGGUAUCAUUUUCCCUAAAUCUCAAAGAAGCUAGAAAUGAGGAUUUAAAAUAGUCCCACGUCGACCAGAAAAGUAAUAAGGUAUUGUUUAUAAACUUUGAUGUGUACCAUAUAUGUUACUUUGUUGAGGAAUGUGGAGAGUCUAAACGUGAUGUUACUCCAAGUUCUUCUUCUUCCAUUGUUUUUAAUGAAAGAAUUGAAUAUGUUACCGUUCCGUUCCUAUUUGAACUUUUAAAAUAGUCCCACGUCGACCAGAAAAGUAAUAAGGUAUUGUUUAUAAACUUUGAUGUGUACCAUAUAUGUUACUUUGUUGAGGAAUGUGGAGAGUCUAAACGUGAUGUUACUCCAAGUUCUUCUUCUUCCAUUGUUUUUAAUGAAAGAAUUGAAUAUGUUACCGUUCCGUUCCUAUUUGAACUUUUAAAAUAGUCCCACGUCGACCAGAAAAGUAAUAAGGUAUUGUUUAUAAACUUUGAUGUGUACCAUAUAUGUUACUUUGUUGAGGAAUGUGGAGAGUCUAAACGUGAUGUUACUCCAAGUUCUUCUUCUUCCAUUGUUUUUAAUGAAAGAAUUGAAUAUGUUACCGUUCCGUUCCUAUUUGAACUUUUAAAAUAGUCCCACGUCGACCAGAAAAGUAAUAAGGUAUUGUUUAUAAACUUUGAUGUGUACCAUAUAUGUUACUUUGUUGAGGAAUGUGGAGAGUCUAAACGUGAUGUUACUCCAAGUUCUUCUUCUUCCAUUGUUUUUAAUGAAAGAAUUGAAUAUGUUACCGUUCCGUUCCUAUUUGAACUUUUAAAAUAGUCCCACGUCGACCAGAAAAGUAAUAAGGUAUUGUUUAUAAACUUUGAUGUGUACCAUAUAUGUUACUUUGUUGAGGAAUGUGGAGAGUCUAAACGUGAUGUUACUCCAAGUUCUUCUUCUUCCAUUGUUUUUAAUGAAAGAAUUGAAUAUGUUACCGUUCCGUUCCUAUUUGAACUUUUAAAAUAGUCCCACGUCGACCAGAAAAGUAAUAAGGUAUUGUUUAUAAACUUUGAUGUGUACCAUAUAUGUUACUUUGUUGAGGAAUGUGGAGAGUCUAAACGUGAUGUUACUCCAAGUUCUUCUUCUUCCAUUGUUUUUAAUGAAAGAAUUGAAUAUGUUACCGUUCCGUUCCUAUUUGAACUUUUAAAAUAGUCCCACGUCGACCAGAAAAGUAAUAAGGUAUUGUUUAUAAACUUUGAUGUGUACCAUAUAUGUUACUUUGUUGAGGAAUGUGGAGAGUCUAAACGUGAUGUUACUCCAAGUUCUUCUUCUUCCAUUGUUUUUAAUGAAAGAAUUGAAUAUGUUACCGUUCCGUUCCUAUUUGAACUUUUAAAAUAGUCCCACGUCGACCCAAAAAGUAGUAAGAUGGUAUUUAUAAACUUUAAUGUGUACCAUACAUGUUACAUUGUUGAAGAAUUGAGAGUAACGUGGAUUUGGAUGUUAUCCUUAGUACUUCUGUAAUGGUUUUUAAUGAAUGAGUUGAACAUAUUUUUUAAAGUAUAACUUGGUUCCUUUUAUUUAAUUUCCAUAGUUUAUGAUGCAAGAUCGUUUUGUUAAUCUUUUUUUUUUGAACUAGAAGAUCGUUUUGUUUGUAAUCAUAUAAAAUAUUCUUCAACUUUUUAAAUUAUUGAAUUUUUUUUUUUUUUUAUGGAAGGUUAUUGAAUAAUUUUUGUGUACCACUAAUAUGUCUUCUCUCACCCAAUGCCCACUAUUUUUUCCAGCAAAACCUUCAUUGUGAGCAGGAAAAAAAAAAGCUUUCAUUCCUCCACAAGCUUAAUUAUAAUUAUUAUCUUGAAUCUUAAAAAAGAAACUCCAAAGUUCAUAUAAUUUGAAUUGGAACUAAAAUUUUCCUCAUGAAAAAUUGAUAAAGAGAUUUCAAUUCUGAUUCUCUAUUAGUAGCAAAGUUGUCAAAAUCAGGACUUUACUUCAGGUCGAAAGGAAAUAGCAAAAUUGGGACUCGUAAAAUCCCAAUCAAAAUCGAAUGAUUUUACUCAAUGACUUUUGUAGAAUCGAUAUUGGAAAUUGUAAAAUCGCAAUCAAAAUCGAUGGAUUUUACCAAAAAAUAAUAAUACUAACUAUAUGUUAUAAAUGGUAUAUAGUCAUAAAUAACUUAGUUUAUAAGAAAUCGUAAAAUGACAAUCAAAAUUGAUGGAUUUUGCUUAUUUUGGGAUUCUAUUAUGAAUUUGAGUCAUUGAAGGUGAAGAAAGUCGCAAAAUCCUAGAUUUUAAGAUUUAAGUCGGGAUUUUGACAACAAUACUUAGUAGUAUAUCUAACUUUCUAUUUUCCUAAUGAAUCCAUUUUCGGGUCAAUCCAAACCCAAUUUCAAUGAUGUGGAGUAAUGUAAAAUAUGGGGGCGUCGAUUGCAUGUUCCAAAUCAUCACUGUUCGCAGCGACACCACAACUCAUUGUCAAUAGAAGCUCGUCCUCUUCUCAUCCCCAUUGCAGCAGCGUUGCUGCAGACGUUCAUAUUUUGAAAGGUUUACUCAAACACACUAAACAUGGUAGAGGGUCUUUAUAUCUGUCAUGAGAAGUAAAACACAUCAAAGAUAAAAAAUAAAAAAUAAAAAUAAAAAAAGACAAGAAAUCCAGAAUUAAGAUAAAAGGAAAUCUUGAAAGACAACCACGAAUCUCGAAAAAUGGAAAGAAUUUUUUUAAGAACCACCGACAAUUUUCUUUAUUUUGCGUUUGGAAGAAGAAGAAGAUGAUGGGAAUGGUAAAAAGAACCCUAAUAUAAAGAGUAAGGAUUGGAUGGAGAAGACAUAAAUGUUACUUUUUUUUUUAUUUCCAACAAAUCUCGUCCUUUAAUUUACUUGUUAGUCCAAUGGUGUGAUAUAUUAGGGGUACACCAGUGACUUGCUUAAUUUCAACCUAUUUUUUAGCUGUACUUGUAGUUUAAUUGGUGAUAUAUUCAUCUGUCAAAGGAAGUAUGCAAAAGAGAUGUUAAAGAAAUUCAAUAUGGAUUACUGUAAAAGCAUGAGCACUCCUAUGUGUCCAAAGGAGAAGCUAUGCAAGGAUGUUGAAGAAGAACAAGUGGUUGAAACACUUUACUGAAGUUUAAUUGGCUGCUUAAUGUAUCUUACAACUACAAGACCAGAUAUUUUUUAUGCUGUAAAUGUUCUUUCAAGAUUCAUGAAUUGUGCUAAAGAAUCUCAUUUCAAAGGAGCAAAAAGAGUGUUGAGGUAUGUCAAGGGAACCUUAAAUUAUGGCAUUAAGUUCUGUCGAUCGGAAAAAUUCAAGUUGCAAGGUUACUCUGAUAGUGAUUGGGCAGGAUCUUUAGAUGACAUGAAAAGCACUUCAGGCUACUGUUUUAGUUCUGGGACAGGGAUAUUCUCUUGGAGUUCAAAAAAACAAGAAAUUGUUGCACAAUCAACAGCUGAAGCAGAGUUUAUUGCAGCCACAGCAGCUGUUAAUCAGGCCUUGUGGCUAAGAAAAGUUCUAACUGAUUUGCACUUAGAGCAAAAGGAAACUACUGAGGUAAUGGUGAACAACCAGGCAGCCAUUGCCAUCUCCAAAAAUCCUGUUUUUCAUGGUAAAACAAAGCAUUUUAGUAUUAAAUUAUUUUUCCUCAGAGAUGUUCAAAAGGAUGGUGAUGUGUGUUUGAAGUACUGCAAGACUGAAGACCAUUUGUCAGAUAUCUUUACAAAAGCUCUUCCAAAAGGCAGGUUUGAGUUAAGGGAGAAACUUGGAAUAUCCAACUACUGAUACAAGGAGGAGUGUUGAACGUGUGUAUCAGCAGUUGUUACUGCCAGCUGCACUGAUUGACCAAGUCUUUAGGAGAAUUUGUUUUAAUAUUUCAGUUUUUAAUUAGCUAAUAAAGUAGUGGCUAAAGAUUAGGAGUUAGUUACUCAUUAUUUGUUUUUAUUUAAGUCACAGCUUUGUAUUUUGACAGUAGUUUUUCAUUCAAUAAAGCUUAGUUUUUCCUUCCUAUUUUAUGAGUUACGUAUAAACACCAAACAGUAUUUCAUCCAGUAAUCAUAGGAUAAAUGAGCAUUGCUGUAACACUCAGACUGAACAAAGAAAUCAAGAUGAUGAUGCAGUCAAAGAUCAUACUAAAGAGCACAAAGCAUAUACAGCAAAUAGAACAAAAAAACACAGUCAAUAAAGAUUUGGUAUCAGCUGAUUAAAUGUGUUUCUAUGAAAAACAAAUUGUAUGAAAAUUGUAUUUCACGGUCAGGAUUUAGUUAAGAAUCCAAAUUCAUUCAAAAGAAAUUGAAGCUUCUAUAGGUUCAUCCUCAACUUUGAAUUUUGGAGGUUGCUGUUUAAUUUCCAUGAUAUUAUUGACUAUUGGUCAAACAUAAAAUAAAACUACAUUUUAAAUGACGGAAGUAGUAAGGAAGUUUCGUAGACAAUUUAUUUUUUGUUUAUUUAUUUAUUUAAGUUUUCUCGUUGUUUUAUUGUUUGAAUGGUAACCACAUUUAAGAUAUCAGCAAGAAGAGGUGGUAGUGCAACGAUAUCUACUCUGUGAUUGGUCCACACGGCUAUAGGAUGUUGCAAGGAAGUUUCACUUACUACUUUUGUCAUUAGUUUUCUCCUUGUUUUAAAGAAUCCACCUAACAGACCACACAAAUUACUCAUUCAUAUUCUCCAUUUUCAAAGUCUUUUUUCAUCCAUAUUCUUUCAAUUCUCAUGGCUAUGCAAUCACCUUCCUGAGUGUUCCUCAUUUUCAGGGGCAGUGACACUCGCAACAAUUUUACCGGUAAUCUCUAUAAGGCUCUUGUUGACAAGGGAAUU
rnacentral:lncRNA from 1 species